GCAACAGCAGCUUCUCAGACAUAAGGGCAAACAGUGAGAGAAGGGAAGACACUCUGAACAGAGGACUGUGCUCUCCCAGGAUGCCUGUGAAGUGGAUUUUUGCCCUGCUCCUGCUGCAGAUGAGUUGCUGCUUCAGAUCUGGUAACUGUGGGAAGGUGUUGGUGUGGCCGAUGGAGUACAGUCACUGGAUGAAUUUAAAGAUAAUACUGGAUGAACUUGUACAGAGGGGUCAUGAAGUGACUGUUCUGAGACCAUCAGCUUCCAUUUUGCUUGAUCCCGAAAAAUCGCCUGGCCUUAAAUUUGAAACUUUUUCUACAACUAUCAGUAAAGAUGAUCUGGAAAGUUUUUUCACAAAGAUUGUGAAUAUGUGGACUUAUGAGCUACCAAGAGAUACAUGUUUAUCAUUUUCUCCCUUGCUACAAAAUAUGUUUACAGAAUAUUCUGCUUAUUAUCAAAGUCUUUGUAAAGACACAGUUUCAAACAAACAUCUUAUGGCAAAACUGCAGAAAUCCAAGUUUGAUGUCCUGAUCUCAGAUGCGAUUGCUCCCUGUGGGGAACUGAUAGCUGAACUGCUCCAUAUUCCUUUUCUUUACAGUCUUCGUUGCACUCCAGGCUACACAAUGGAAAAGUACACUGGAGGAUUUGUGCUCCCUCCCUCUUAUGUACCUAUGAUUUUGUCAGGACUAGGUGGUCAAAUGACAUUCUUAGAGAGGGUGAAAAAUAUGAUAUGUAUGCUUUAUUUUGACUUUUGGUUCCAGACAUUUGAUGAAAAGAAAUGGGAUCAGUUCUACAGUGAAACUUUGGGAAGGCCCACCACCUUAGCUGAGACAGUCAGCAAAGCAGAAAUGUGGCUCAUUAGGUCCUACUGGGAUUUGGAAUUUCCUCACCCAACCUUACCAAAUGUUGACUAUGUUGGAGGACUCCACUGCAAACCUGCUAAACCCUUGCCUGAGGAAAUGGAAGACUUUGUCCAGAGCUCUGGAGAGCAUGGGGUUGUGCUGUUUUCUUUGGGGUCCAUGGUCAGUAACAUGACAGAGGAAAUGGCCAACACAGUUGCAUGGGCCCUUGCCCAGAUUCCACAAAAGGUGAGAUAAAGUCCCCUCAUUGGACUCCACUGUAUAAAAGUCGUUCAAAGUUCUGAUUACAGUGGGAACAGGGACAUGAACUGAUUGACAUGCUCUUUGAUCACUUUCCCCUGAGAGGAGAGCAUCCUUACCAGACCAUAGAGGAAGACAAUGCAGCCACUCCCGAUGAGAUCUGAUAGACUAGGAUCAGAAGGAAGAAGAGGAAGACCUCCCCUAUCAGUGGACUUGGGGAGAGGCAUGUGUAGAGAAGGGGGAGGGAAAUUGAGAAGGGAGGAAGGAGCGGUUUAUGGGGGGAUACAAAGUGAAUAAAGUGUAAUUGAUAAAAAUUAAAAUAAAAAAAUUGUUCCUUAAAAAAAUAAAUGACAAAACAUGUUCUUAUUACAAAAAUUACUGGUGAAAGGUAAAGUUUUAGGUAAGCUGUAAUUUACAUUACCCAAUUUAGAAACAGAUAUGCAUAACAAAUGUUACAAUGUAAUACAAGUUGUCCAGAAGUUGUUUUGACCUAGAAUAUCUCUUAUAUAAGCACUGUGAUCUCUGUGGGCACAUUCUGAAAUGCUGGUGUGAGAGGACCUUGCUCUUCAGAGUCACUAGUUACAUUUGUUGAUUAUUUAAACUCAAUGCAUACAUAAAAGUUUUGGUGGGAUUAUUCACAUUUAUUUCAUUUUCUAGACGAAUAAUAUUAUGCAGGUAUUGAAACUGUCUGAAAUGUAUCAUGGCUCUGCUCUGCAUCCUAAUUUUGAAGUAGGCUUGUUCAAUGUGUAGUUGAGAGGGCCAUUUAAAUAAUCAACUGUCAUUCAAAAGGCCCAGAGGUCUUUUCUGAAACAGAUGCUAGUACAGGCAUUACACAGCAAGCCUAUAGCCAACAUCAAACUAAACAGAGAGAAACUUAAAGCAAUCCCACUAAAAUCAGGGACAAGGUAAGGCUGUCCACUCUCUCCACAUUUCUUCAACAUAGUUCUUGAAGUCCUUGCUAGAGGAAUAAGACAAGUAAAGUGAUCAAGGGCAUACAAAUUGGAAAGGAAGACAUCAAAGUAUCAAUAUUUGCAGAUCAUAUGUUGGUAUACAUGAAUGACCCCAAAAAUUCUACCAGGGAACUCCUAUAGCAGAUAAACACCUUCAGCAAAGUGCAUGGAUCCAAAAUUAAUUUGAAAAAAAUAUCAGUAGCCCUCCUGUAUGCAAAAGAAAAAGGAGCUGAGAAAGAAUUAGGAAAAUAACGCCCUUCACAAUAACCACAAAGGACAUAAAGUACCUUGGUGUGACUCUAACUAAGCAAGUCAAAGACUUGUAUAUAAAAAAAAUUCCAAUCUCUGAAGAGAGAAAUACAAGAAGAUAUCAGAAGUUGGAAAGAUCUCCUAUGCUCAAGCUUGGCAUGAUUAACCAAGCAAAAAAAGAGACUGAUACUCCAACCAAGGACCAUGCAAGGAGAUAACCUAGAACACCUGCAAAGAUAUGGCCUGUGGCAGUUCAGUCUCCAAGUGUGUUAAUGAGUAAGGGGAACAGGGAUUGUCUGACAUGAACUCAGUGGCUGGCUUUUUGAUAACCUCCCCCUUAGAGGGUAGCAGCCUUACCAGGCCAUAGAGGAAGACAUUGCAGCCAGUCCUGAUGAGACCUGAAAGGCUAGCUAGGGUCAGAUGGAAGGGGAAGAGGACCUUCCCUACUAGUGGACUUGGAGAAGGGCAUAGGGGGAGAUGAGAGAGUAACCUGUGAUAGGAAGAAAAUGAGGGAGGGGGCUACAGCUGGGAUACAAGUGAAUAAACUGUAAUUAAUAUAAAAAAGUUCCCUUUUGAUUAACUUUAAAAAAAGAUAAUUAAAAAAAUGUUUCAGGGCUGCCUUGCCAAAUAUUUGUAGAAGAAAUGCAUAAAGGAAAGACAGAUGUGAGUACUGCUCUUAUAAUAAUCUCUGUGUAUCAUAAAAUAUGAAACACCCAGCUUUGCUUAUAACUAGAGAGAAUGAAAAUCGUAAGAUUCAAGAAAGGAAUAUGAAAAUAAGAAAGAGUCUAACAGAACCUGCUAUGAAAACAUUUUCAGUGUAGUGUGCUUCACUUCAUAAAGCACACUACAAAGUAAUUUUCUGGAGAUUAAAUUUAAAUCUUUGAACAUUUAUGAACAUAAUAAAUAUUCUAAUGGAAAAACUGUUGUAUAAUCAUCUACAUUAGUUUAUUUGCUGUGAUCCAGUACCCGUCACAUAGUAAGUCUAUGUUAGACAUGUGGACCAUUCUUCAUUUUACAAGAUUUGUCUACAAACAAUAGUGGUUAAACUAAAGUAAACCCAGUCCUACCCACUACACCUGACAGGACAGUGAAAACACCUUCCAAGUACAAUCUCAUGUUUUGAAGAAACGGAAGUCAAAAUACUCAUCCAUUUUCUUGGAGUGGUUCUUAAGAAUCACUAAGAAUUCUUCUUCUGCGAAUUCAUUCCUGAUAUCACCCUCUUUGUAAUUAUUUUAGAUAAAGAAUAUCUAGAGUGGUUUUGACUUGAGAGGUAAAUAAACCUAAUGGUCCUUUGAUGUGUGAGUAUCCACACAUACACAGGUCUAAGAAGCUAUAAUAUCAGUAGAAAGAAAUUCUCAGGUGACAUAGGGUUCUGUGUGAUUCGUAGACUGACUUCUUCCUUGGUGCUUAUGGUCUUUAUUUGGCCCAAGAUGAGACAAAAUUUAUAUAAAAUAUAAAUUAUUAGUAAUGGGCCACUGCUUUCUUCAAUUGAAUUAUGACACCAUGUCCAUAUAGUAAACAUAGUCAUGUGUCAUGAACUAUCUGAUUUGUGUAAAUAACCCUGCUUGGAAAAUGAGGAUUGCAUUCAACCUGUCUGAAUGUAAAAAUAAACACAGAAACUGCUGGCACACUCUUCAUCUCCAUCUUUGAAGGAUCUCAUUACUCAACUCUUUUGAUUUCCUCAUCAAUCCCAGGGGAAGUAUUUAGCUCUGUUGUGUUUAAAAUAAAAAAGUUACAUAUUUAAAGUUAUUUUUUGAAAUUACUUUUUAUUUUGUUUUAUUUUUAUAUUUUUUUGUUUAGAUGUUUACUAUUAAUCUGAAUCAUAGCUCCCUGUUGCCUCCCUGUCCUCCCCUCACACAUCUCUCUCCCUCUCCUGCCCCUAAAAUAGUGGAGGCCUUCCCUGCACAAACCCACUUCAGCACAGGCAGUCUCAUUAGGACUGUUUAUUUCCUCUCUUACAGUGUCCUGGUUACACAGCCAUGCCAGGGUGAAGUGAUCAAAAGUCAUGCAACAAAGACCUUGUCAGAGACAUCCCCCAUCCCUUUUCUGGGGCACACACAUGGAGGCUAAGCUGACUUUUGUGUAUAUACAUGUAGAGGGUCUAAGUCUAGUCCAAGUCAUGUUGGGACCAGGUUCUUUGGAGAUUUGAUGGCAAAAAACCAGCCAACUUAGGACCCAAUACUAGAGUCUACAAGUGGCUCCCCCAGAAUGAUCUUCUUGGACACCCCAAAACCAAAGCCUUCAUAACUCACGGUGGAGCCAAUGGCAUCUAUGAGGCGAU